AUACGUAGGGGGCGAGCGUUAUCCGGAAUUAUUGGGCGUAAAGAGUACGUAGGUGGUUUCCUAAGCGGGGGGUUUAAGGCACUGGCUUAACCAAUGUUCGCCCCCCGAACUGGGGAACUUGAGUGCUGGAGAGGAAAGCGGAAUUCCUAGUGUAGCGGUGAAAUGCGUAGAUAUUAGGAGGAACACCAGUGGCGAAGGCGGCUUUCUGGACAGUAACUGACACUGAGGUACGAAAGUGUGGGGAGCAAACAGGAUUAGAUACCCUGGUAGUCCACACCGUAAACGAUGAGCACUAGGUGUCGGGCUCGCAAGAGUUCGGUGCCGCAGUUAACGCAUUAAGUGCUCCGCCUGGGGAGUACGUACGCAGGUAUGAAACUCAAAUGAAUUGACGGGG
rnacentral:rRNA from 1 species